CAAAAAUUAGUUGCAAGCGGAGUCCUCCCGAGACCGUCGUACAGCAUAGACGUAUAAGUGGAGUAAUUUCUCGACCACCUUGACAAUAGCCACCGCGGCCGAUAUAAAAACUUAAGAGACCAGGAAGGAAACUUACAGACCAGACGAUGCAUCCUAUUCUUUUGGUCGUCAUUGUAGGCAUUAUAGCGGCUGCGUUGAAGAUGGCACGCAGGCACC